GGUCUGUCAAGUCGGAUGUGAAAUCCCCGGGCUCAACCUGGGAACUGCAUUCGAAACUGGCAGGCUUGAGUCUUGUAGAGGGGGGUAGAAUUCCAGGUGUAGCGGUGAAAUGCGUAGAGAUCUGGAGGAAUACCGGUGGCGAAGGCGGCCCCCUGGACAAAGACUGACGCUCAGGUGCGAAAGCGUGGGGAGCAAACAGGAUUAGAUACCCUGGUAGUCCACGCCGUAAACGAUGUCUACUUGGAGGUUGUGCCCUUGAGGCGUGGCUUCCGGAGCUAACGCGUUAAGUAGACCGCCUGGGGAGUACGGCCGCAAGGUUAAAACUCAAAUGAAUUGACGGGGGCCCGCACAAGCGGUGGAGCAUGUGGUUUAAUUCGAUGCAACGCGAAGAACC
rnacentral:rRNA from 2 species